GUCUACGACCAUACCACCCUGAAUGCACCCAAUCUCGUCUGAUCUUGGAAGCUAAGCAGGGUUGGGCCUGGUUAGUACUUGGAUGGGAGAAAUCUGCAUGCAUGUGAAUGUGACAUGUUUCUUAAGUG
rfam:Pongo abelii chromosome 11.